UAACGGCGAGUGAAGCGGCAAGAGCUCAAAUUUGAAAGCUGGCUCCUUCGGAGUCCGCAUUGUAAUUUGCAGAGGAUGCUUUGGGUGCGGCCCCCGUCUAAGUGCCCUGGAACGGGCCGUCAGAGAGGGUGAGAAUCCCGUCUUGGGCGGGGUGUCCGUGCCCGUGUAAAGCUCCUUCGACGAGUCGAGUUGUUUGGGAAUGCAGCUCUAAAUGGGUGGUAAAUUUCAUCUAAAGCUAAAUACUGGCCGGAGACCGAUAGCGCACAAGUAGAGUGAUCGAAAGAUGAAAAGCACUUUGAAAAGAGAGUUAAACAGCACGUGAAAUUGUUGAAAGGGAAGCGCUUGCGACCAGACUCGCCCGCGGGGUUCAGCCGGCAUUCGUGCCGGUGUACUUCCCCGUGGGCGGGCCAGCGUCGGUUUGGGCGGCCGGUCAAAGGCCCCUGGAAUGUAGUGCCCUCCGGGGCACCUUAUAGCCAGGGGUGCAAUGCGGCCAGCCUGGACCGAGGAACGCGCUUCGGCACGGACGCUGGCAUAAUGGUCGUAAACGACCCGUCUUGAAACACGGACCAAGGAGUCUAACAUCUACGCGAGUGUUCGGGUGUCAAACCCGUGCGCGCAGUGAAAGCGAACGGAGGUGGGAGCCCCCUUGCGGGGCGCACCAUCGACCGAUCCUGAUGUCUUCGGAUGGAUUUGAGUAAGAGCGUAGCUGUGGGGACCCGAAAGAUGGUGAACUAUGCCUGAAUAGGGCGAAGCCAGAGGAAACUCUGGUGGAGGCUCGCAGCGGUUCUGACGUGCAAAUCGAUCGUCAAAUUUGGGUAUAGGGGCGAAAGACUAAUCGAACCAUCUAGUAGCUGGUUCCUGCCGAAGUUUCCCUCAGGAUAGCAGUAACGCAAAAUCAGUUUUAUGAGGUAAAGCGAAUGAUUAGAGGCAUUGGGGUUGAAACAACCUUAACCUAUUCUCAAACUUUAAAUAUGUAAGAAGCCCUUGUUGCUUAGUUGAACGUGGGCAUUAGAAUGGAGCGUUACUAGUGGGCCAUUUUUGGUAAGCAGAACUGGCGAUGCGGGAUGAACCGAACGCGAGGUUAAGGUGCCGGAAUGCACGCUCAUCAGACACCACAAAAGGUGUUAGUUCAUCUAGACAGCCCGACGGUGGCCAUGGAAGUCGGAAUCCG
rnacentral:rRNA from 1 species